rnacentral:rRNA from 1 species
CAGUCGCCGCGGGAACACGAAGGGUGCAAGCGUUACUCGGAAUUACUGGGCGUAAAGCGUGCGUAGGUGGUGGUUUAAGUCCGUUGUGAAAGCCCUGGGCUCAACCUGGGAAUUGCAGUGGAUACUGGGUCACUAGAGUGUGGUAGAGGAUAGUGGAAUUUCCGGUGUAGCGGUGAAAUGCGUAGAGAUCGGGAGGAACAUCAGUGGCGAAGGCGGCCAUCUGGGACAACACUGACGCUGAGGCACGAAAGCGUGGGGAGCAAACAGGAUUAGAGACCCCCGUAGUCCCUGUCUCUUAUAC